UAAAAAUAGGAAAACACAAAUUUAAAGUUCAUAUGCAAAAAUGUGUUCAAUUGUCAAAAAAAUUCUAAAACAGGAAAAGAAUAAAAGGUUCUUAGAUAUUAACUGUAUGUGAUGGUUAAUUUGAUGCACCAGCUUGGCUGGGCCUUGGGCCGGGGCAGCUCUUUGCAUUCCUGGCCCUUCCUUGCUCCUGAAGCCCAGCCAUCGCAGCAUCUUUCUGCAUUUGCUGCUUCUGAAUCCCUUUGCAUCCUCUUUUCUUGACCUUGCUGUUAUCUAGUAACGUCAUCUUACUAGGCAACGAUUCUCUAUGUUAAUGUUUUUCCUGUUCACAUUCCUGGUGUGGUUGUUCCCUUCUGAUUGGAACUAACUCAGGAUAGAGAUUUUCCGAGGUGAAGAUGAGAGAGGUGGGGUGAGUGUAUCAGGCAAGCACCCACUUGGGUUUAAGGUAGAAAUGGAUUUAUGAUAGGGAAUAUUAUAGAAUCACUGGAUGCGUUGGUGGUGUAAUAGCUAAGAGGUGGCCUUUGGGACUACUGAGCUUAAGAGGAGACCUAGGUAGCUGUGAUUCUGAGAUCAGGAACCUGCCGGGGAUCCUGAGGCUGCGCCCCUGCUGCCCAGGCCUCCCUCAGCAACGGCUGAGUCUCCACAGCCCUGCCUGCCAGCAGUGUCAGCGCAGGGCGGAGGCCUCCGAGGAGUCGUUUCUGCGUUUGACAUCUUACACAACUGCACUGACUCCAACAGCCUCGCCCAGAACUCUGGCUGCAAAGGAGUCUGUAAAACACAGUAUUGCCUCAUGUGUAUUUUAGGUUCUAAAAUACCAGAAAAUAAACAAAAGGAGGUGGGAAUGGAAGCUGAACACGAUGGACCACAUUCAGCACAGUGGAAAAUCAAGAGUCCUGAUGUGAGCACAGCAGUCUUGAGAUGUCGUCUUCCUCCCGGUGAAGACGUUCAUGGCAGAUGCAGCGGAGAGGUCCAGGUCGGAGAUGCUGACCUGCGAGGCUGGAGUGCAGUGGUGCAAUCUCGGCUCAUUACAACCUCCGCCUCCCAGGUUCAAGCGAUUCUCCUGCCUCAGCCUCCUGAGUAGCUGGGACUACAGGGCCAUCUUGCUGGCUUGCCACAGGUUGCAUGGUAAUGACUGGGCAUCAUUCAUGGGAAACUGCACCACGUAAGCAAGCCUGGCUAGGCCCACAGGAGGCCCUGGGCACAUUUUUUCAGCUGCAGAGCGGAGGAAUAGCAAUCGGUGAGGUAGAAGGAGAACCAAGAGACUGUGGGAGAAUGGGCACUGAGCUGAGAGAGCUUCCGGAAGGUUGCGGUGGUCUACUGCAAUUCAUGUUAUUGAGCAACUGCAUUAGGCUGAUUUCAUAAGUGCUGCUGAGGAAGACGCUGAGUUCCUGAGGUGAAAAGGGAUGAGGACACCUAAGAAGACAGAAGUGCAACACCCAAAACAACUUUCUGAAAUUGUCUAAUGUCACACGUUAAAAUAAUAUGAAACACGUUAAAAUAAUAAAA